CCGACCACGUGCACGGCAUCUUGGGGCACGGGUUCCCGCCGUCUCCCCACUGUAAAGGAGCGGCUUACUCCAGAGGGCUCACUCCCAUCGCCAUCCUUCGUAAUUUCAAAGGGUCUACGGUUAAAAAUAUUCCAAAUUGUUGGGAAACUCUCAGACCCCAGAACUUAGCUGGCUGCAUGCUCGGCCAGCCCUCAGAGACAGCAUGAUUGGAGGCAGGAGCAGGAAUUGGCAACCUGAGAAGUAGAUACCACCCAGGCACCCUCAUUCACAAGGAUCCAGAGACAGGGUUUCCCCCUGUUGCCCAGUCUGGCAUCGAUCACCUAAGCUCAAGCGAUCCACCCAUCUUGGCCUCCCAAAAUGCUAGGAUUAUAGGUGUCAGCCACUGCACCCGGCCGUAAGUUAUUUUCAAGUAGGAAAAAAAGGAGGCUGCCUGCUCCUUAACUCUUCAAGCCUACCCAUCCCUAUCAAUCAUCCCUUCAAACACAGUAAACUAUGGCUUUAAAUUCACAGCUGACCCAGGAGCCAGUGGCAUCUGAAAUUUUUUUAAAAGCCAGAGAAGAUCUAUGUUGACCUGAUGAUCUUUCACCUUCUAGAUCUCCCUGAACCACUGGCCAAAUCUUUCAAUAAAGAAUGUGCUUAACCUGCCUCUUAAGACCCAUGUAUUUGCACAAGAAGGAAAAAAAAAACCAGAAAAAAAAGCAAAACUAGAGCUGCCUGCCUGUGCUGAAGCUUUUUCAGUAAUUUCAGAGCCACUGAAGUGAUGUGAGAUCAGUUGACAAGAGAAAAACACUCUGAGAUCUGCCAGAAUGACCCUCAAGGGGAGAAAAAUAAUUAAACAGGUGGAAAAACAAGGAACACGCAAGACUGAUCAAAGCGUUUCUUUUCUGUUGAACAGCUUUUGCUGACUUCUGGUACCAUCAGUUUUCUUGAGUACAAUAAAGACCAACAAAUGCAGAAUGUUAGUUACGGGCCUUACUCAAUCAGGCUCAAAGGCUUUACUGGGGUUACAGGAAGCCAAGUACCCAGUCCACUAAUGUCCUGGGAGAAAAGCCUGAAGGCAGAGCAUGGUAGGUUUUCUCUUGCAGCCUGCAGGCUGAUCUGAUGGGACUUCAAUUCUGUCACUUCCUUGCUCUGUGACAUUGAACAUUCUGUAAGCCUCUGGGCCUCAGCUUUCUCAUCCAUGGAAGUGGGAUUACAGUGUCUAACCUGCAGGGCUGCUGUGUGUUUAUAUAUGUGCAUAGAACAUAAUGGCCUUCCCUUGAUAGAAGCAGAGAUUGGACAUGUGGCCUCUGACAAGUUACUUUUUUUUUUCUACAAGUUUCCCUCUCCUCUCCCCCAUUCAGAAAGUGGAAGGGGUAAUUCUUCAGGGAAUUUGUGAGAUGUUACCACAAGGUUACACAAUGGCUUGCUGUAAACUAUUUUAUGUCUUUUUUUUUUUUUUUUUUUUGAGACGGAGUCUUGCUCUGUCACUCAGGCUGGAGUGCAGUGGUGCGAUCUCGAUCUCAGCUCACUGCAACCUCCAACUCCCAGGCUCAAGCGAUUCUCAUGCCUCAGCAUCCUGAGUAGCUGGGACUACAGGUGCACACCACCACGCCCCAGUAAAUUUUUUGUAUUUUCAGUAGAGACAGGGUUUCGCUAUGUUGGCCAGGCUCGUCUCGAACUCCUGGCCUCAAAUGAUCCACCAGCCUCGGCCUCCCAAAGUGCUGGGAUUACAGGUGUGAGCCAUAUUUUAUGCCUUUUAUCAGGGCAUCCUCUGUAGGUUUACAUGACAUAAAAUUGCCCAGAGGGCAACUGAAGAGCAUCACUCUACAAUUUGGGAGAGGUAAAGGGAAAAGAAUCAGAUGGGUAAGAUACAUAAAAGGUAUAUAGCUAUGAAGUUGUUCAAUACUCAGUACACACCGUGGUUAAACACAGAUGCAAAAGCCGGAUUGCAAGUUUGAAUCUUGGCUCCAUCACUGCACAUCCUUGGGCUGGUUCCUUAACCUCUCUCAGUCUCAUAUCCCAUAAAAAAAAAAAAAGAAUUAAAUUAGUCAAUAUAAAUGUAAAAGUUCUUACAACUAGCUGGCACAUAGAAAGCUGUUAGCAGGCAGGGCAUGGUGGCUCACAUCCAUAAUCCCAGCACUUUGGG
rnacentral:lncRNA from 1 species